UACGAAGGGGGCUAGCGUUGCUCGGAAUUACUGGGCGUAAAGCGCACGUAGGCGGAUUGUUAAGUCGGGGGUGAAAUCCUGGAGCUCAACUCCAGAACUGCCUUCGAUACUGGCGAUCUCGAGUUCGGGAGAGGUGAGUGGAACUGCGAGUGUAGAGGUGAAAUUCGUAGAUAUUCGCAAGAACACCAGUGGCGAAGGCGGCUCACUGGCCCGAUACUGACGCUGAGGGGCGAAAGCGUGGGGAGCGAACAGG
rnacentral:rRNA from 1 species